AUCCAUUUGACAAGUCCGAAAUAGGACGAAAUGCGUUUCAUGGAU
rnacentral:hammerhead_ribozyme from 1 species